rnacentral:piRNA from 1 species
UUGUGGCAGACUCGACUUCCUCAA